GCGAGGGUGUCGGAAUCGGCAGACGAGCUGGACUUAGGAUCCAGUGCCUUAAUCGGCGUAGGGGUUCAAAUCCCCUCCCUCGCACCA
rnacentral:tRNA from 1 species